GACGUAGGAGGCAAGCGUUGUCCGGAGUUACUGGGCGUAAAGCGCGCGCAGGCGGUCACGCAGGUCAUCUGUGAAAGCACCCGGCUCAACCGGGUUGUUGCGGGUGAAACCGCGUGACUUGAGGUCGGGAGGGGUCGGUGGAAUUCCCGGUGUAGUGGUGAAAUGCGUAGAGAUCGGGAGGAACACCCGUAGCGAAGGCGGCCGACUGGACCGAUCCUGACGCUGAGGCGCGAAGGCCAGGGGAGCGAACCGG
rnacentral:rRNA from 1 species